rfam:Tulasnella calospora MTT 4182 unplaced genomic scaffold scaffold_27, whole genome shotgun sequence.
ACAUCGUUGGUGCAGUGGUUAGCAUGCUUGCCUUCCAAGCAAGCGGGCCGGGUUCGAUUCCCGGACGAUGUA